GCGGAAGGAUCAUUACCGAGUUUUCGAGCUCCGGCUCGACUCUCCCACCCUUUGUGAACGUACCUCUGUUGCUUUGGCGGCUCCGGCCGCCAAAGGACCUUCAAACUCCAGUCAGUAAACGCAGACGUCUGAUAAACAAGUUAAUAAACUAAAACUUUCAACAACGGAUCUCUUGGUUCUGGCAUCGAUGAAGAACGCAGCGAAAUGCGAUAAGUAAUGUGAAUUGCAGAAUUCAGUGAAUCAUCGAAUCUUUGAACGCACAUUGCGCCCCUUGGUAUUCCGGGGGGCAUGCCUGUUCGAGCGUCAUUACAACCCUCAAGCUCUGCUUGGAAUUGGGCACCGUCCUCACUGCGGACGCGCCUCAAAGACCUCGGCGGUGGCUGUUCAGCCCUCAAGCGUAGUAGAAUACACCUCGCUUUGGAGCGGUUGGCGUCGCCCGCCGGACGAACCUUCUGAACUUUUCUCAAGGUUGACCUCGGAUCAGGUAGGGAUACCCGCUGAACUUAAGCAUAUAA
rnacentral:rRNA from 1 species